rnacentral:rRNA from 1 species
CACGUAGGGCGCGAGCGUUGUCCGGAAUUUAUUGGGCGUAAAGAGCUCGUAGGCGGCCUGUUGCGUCCGCUGUGAAAGCCCCGGGGCUUAACCCCGGGUCUGCAGUGGGUACGGGCAGGCUAGAGGUAGGUAGGGGAGAAUGGAAUUCCCGGUGUAGCGGUGAAAUGCGCAGAUAUCGGGAGGAACACCGGUGGCGAAGGCGGUUCUCUGGGCCUUACCUGACGCUGAGGAGCGAAAGCGUGGGGAGCGAACAGG